rnacentral:misc_RNA from 1 species
UAAGUCCUGUCUCAAUGUCCACUGUUAGCCCUAUUUACCUUAUCCAAAGAAUUGGCGGACGACGAGGUUGGAAAAGUGCACACGCGUCCCUCAUGCUUCCAACCGUUAAAUAUUCCCUGAUCCGCAACCGCCAUCAGGAGCUGGAGCUUUCCAACUUCAGCUUCUUCGACAAUGAGAAUGUGACUGCUCUCCAGCCUCCACAGAAGGGGGACCAAAAAAAAAAAAAAAAAAAAAAAAAAAAAUUUAGGUUUUCCAUACUGCUUCAUGAUCCAUGUUAUCUCUGCAAAAUUUCACCGAUUUCACCGGCGCCACUGCUUUAUCAUCCUCUACGCAUUCAUCGGCAGCUCGCUAUCUGUUCUCUUACCGUUUGGUGUUAAAGACGGAUUCUACACCCAGAAUUCCUCGAUGCUCUCUGAGAGUCCAGGAAUUGUCCAUGGAGGAGCCUCUAGAAUCGCAGCUUGAUAUGAGCGAGGUUUUUACAUUGAUGCAGAGUAAUAAGAACGAUCGAGUUCCAAGCGAAGGACCAGAGCAAUUACAAGAAGAAGAAGAACAGGAGGAAGAGGAUGAGAAGGGAAUUUCUAAAAUACGAGUGGCGAGGCAAAAAUACAUCCCAGUUUCCAAGGCAGA